UGGCCAGCCGCUAUGUCUGCACCCCCACCAGCCGGCAGCAGUGGCUUGGAAAAACGCUGGCGGAGGUGUCUUAGGCGGCCCCUGGAAAGAAGGCUGCGGGCCACAAGCAGGGCAGGAGCCCUAUCGUCCUGACUUCAGCGGCUCCCUGAAGCUGUUUUCCUAUUCCGGUCCUCUGAAGAGGAAGGAAGCUUCAGAAAACGAGGAACUCUUUCCUGCCAUCCAAGAGCCAAUAAAAGAAAACAGGAUAAGGAUAUAACGGAAAUAAUUUUCAGAAAGAAAUCUUCUCAAAGACGGAGAUUUCCCAUAUCGGUUGGUCGGGUCUCGAAAAUGCAUUCUCGAAAUUUUCUUUGCGCUGGUCUUCGAAGCGCCUGAAUGACAGUUCCUGUGAGCCACCGUACCUGGCAGGCCGAGUUUCAUGUUAACAGGAGAGAACCGAGAGACGUUGCCCAGCACUACAGAUUUCCCAUAUUGGUCGGGCGGGUCUCGAACACGCAUCCUCGAAAUUUUUCUGCACUGGUCUUCGAAGCGGCUAAAUGACAAGUUCCUGUGAGCCACCGUACCUGGCAAGCUGAGUUUCAUGUUAACAGGAGAGAACGAAGAGACGUUGCCCAACACUAUGAGUAUCAUCAGCUAUCCUAGCCAUUUGAAAGGUCGAGGUGGGUGGUUCACCUGAGGUCACGAGUUCCAGGUCAGCUUGGGCAUCUCGAAGAAAACCCACUUCACUUAAAAAAAAGAAGUAGAAGAAGAAAAUCACAGAAAUCAGACAAAUUGUAGUGCUUAAUCUGAACAAACGAGGUGCCAGGUAGCUCCAAGCCUUACACCGCCUUUCUGUAUGACGUACUGCUUUUCUCCUGUAACCCGGGCUGGAGUGAAACACUGUGAUCUCGGCUUAUUGCCACAACUGUAUAGUGGGUUCCAGCGGCCGUUCUGCCGAUGCCUUUCAAG